ACGCCUAGACCCUACAAUUAGUCCUGCAUAAUCUGACAGCUCGAUUAUAUCUGAACAAAUUAUAGCGUAGGUUUAGGGCAAUUAAAAUUGCAACGAUUCAAACUGCGCCAUGAAGUUAAAAUGUGGAAAUGUGAGCCAUUGGUGGGAAUAUCGCUAGCGUGGCCCACAUUCUUGAUAACUUGUCAGAACGGAAACGUGAGUCAGUAGCCGAUACUCAUUUACAUUUAUUUUUUACCACAUAUCAAUUAGAACGAUAAAAUACAAUUCCCAGCAUUGGCUGAAAUGUUCUCCAUUGUAUGGACUAUGGGAUAUGUAGUUUGCUUUCGAAUGAUAUCGGCAUAGCGAGUGCUUUUUCUCCCAUGACGACUCUAAUUUUAUUGUGGUGUUACCGCUUUCCCACACGCAGUCCUUGUGAAGGACAGGUGAGGGUAUCGUCACAGGUAGGUACUCAAGAACACACCUGAUAAUGAUGUAUCGAGUUCGGACUAUAGUAGAGGGUUUCCCCACGACCAUCAAGGUUACAGAGGCCAUGAUUACGAAGAAAUUCCCUACUACGGCUAUGAACACGAAUAUCACUUACCGUCAUAUGAUCAUUCGUUCCACCAUGGCCAUGGCUAUGAUCAUCAUCAUGGGCAUGAACCACAUCAUUUUGAGCACCACAGGCAUUACAAUCAUGCAUUAGCAGCGAAAGCAGUGUUAUGGCCUAUAGCUGGUAUCGCUCUCUUAGGAGCUGCAGCUGCUCUAGUAUCAAAUCCUAUUCUACUUCAACUGGGAGUUGCUACUGGGAAACGAAGAAGACGAGAUACUGAAGAAAUCACUGGUCCAGACUUAGAUCUACCAUGGUCAGAAGAUGGCACACAGAAUAAAGCCGAAAUAAAAAACAAAUGUCAUGAUUUGACACAAUUAAAAAAAAAAAUAAACUCUUACCAAAUAAGAGAAAACAUUCUACGUUUGACGUCAACACAAAAUCGAUGAGUAAUGAAGAAAUUGACGAAAACUAUAUCAAAAUACAUACAGAAAAUACAGAUGAUUAAUAAGAUAAUUUUACUUACUUGAUUGUCCGGUUUGCUACCUACUCCUAGAUCAUUAAUUUCUAUGUAUUUGUCGUUUCAUUCAAUAAAACUACUACUUAGGU